rnacentral:lncRNA from 1 species
CACCUUGAGGAUGGAUUGUGACCCCUGAGAAUUAAGUCCAGGGGCAAAUACUGUGUGUUUGGGGGUGGUUGGCAGGGGAAGGCGGGCAGUUGUCUGGAGUUGGUCUAUCUGACUUCAGUAGCAGAGCAGGUCAGUGGACUACUGUUUUGUUUUUGAGGUGGGUGUUUCACUGGAAGAAGUUUGGCUGGUGUGCCAGUGCCCGAUGGCACUUUAUUUCUGCAGGUGAAGAGGAGCCUCGUGCCGGAAGCAAUGUCCUGGCUAGCCUUCGUGUUCCUUGAUGAGGAUGGAACCUGCCUCCCGUCAUUCCCAAGCUAAGCUGGGGUCUUAGGUAAACCUUAGGAGGAACCGGUCAAAGGAGAGAGCGCCUUCUGGAACUGUCAAGCACUUGUUCGGCAGCUCAGUGACUGGCUUGGUCUACUUCUGAGGUGCCGAGGCAGGUUGUCUGCUGUUUUGAAACGAUAACAUUGGAAAUGGGGUCCCAUGUGUUGUUGAGGGAUGGGUGCUAAUGCUGGCAGCUGAAUGAUUACCUUCUAUGUUUUCAUUUGUUAAAGCUGAAACGCAGCGUACAACCUGGGACGUCACACCCAGAGCUGCCUCUGGCAAGGUGCCAUGGCAGGCUCUCCACAGAAGUGGCUGAGGAUUUGAGAUGAGGCCAGAGAGUGACAAGGAGCAGCACGUGCAGGGAUGGUUUCCAAGCGCUGCGAUUGUUUUCUCUUCUGUUUAUCAGGUGAAGAGGUGCCUGAAGCCCCAUCCUGGCUGGCCAGCGCACACCUCGCUGAGAACGAAAGCUGCUUUCCAGUAAUUCAGAAAGCUAAGUUACGUCUCGGCCUCGAGCAUCUGGGGCGUGUGCCUGUGCUUUUGGACCUGUCUGUAGCAUUUGGCACCUGCAUUAAUACUUUCUUGGCAUAUGUGCAGGCUUUUGGGGCCUGUGUCUUGGGGGGAGGGUUGGGG